AUUAGCAUGAACUUCAGAAGGGCUCUGAUCCACAGAGAGAAUAUUUCAGAUGACUGAAAUACACACAAAGGCUAACAAAGUAUAUUAAUCUAAGGAUUUACUGUUGCUAAUAAUUUUUAUAUUUUUGCUUUAACUCAGUGUUUCUGUCUACCUUGUGCCCCUGGAAUUCUCUCAUUUAUGUUGUAGACAUAGCAGGAACAAAACAUAGGAAGACAAUCAGACGCAUUUAUUUUUCAAGCCAAAAAGCAAACAGAGAGACCAGAGUAUUUCUAUUUAUGACUGCAUAAGCACAAAUAAAUAAUGCCAAUGUGACAAAACAAAACUUUGAAAAUUAUCCUUUCAGAAAUUGCCCAAAGUGGGCUCUUUAGCCAUCUGCUCGCCAGCACAAGAAAACCAACUCAAAGUCAAUUUAGGGCAGCAUCCUUGCCAAUAUAAGCGUAAUGUAUCUUCAGAUACAUAGCUUCCACCUCUUAGAAAACCCAAAAUCCAUGAAAAUUGUAUAAGAUU
rnacentral:misc_RNA from 1 species